CCUACGGGAGGCAGCAGUGGGGAAUAUUGCACAAUGGGGGAAACCCUGAUGCAGCGACGCCGCGUGAGUGAAGAAGUAUUUCGGUAGGUAAAGCUCUAUCAGCAGGGAAGAAAAUGACGGUACCUGAGUAAGAAGCCCCGGCUAACUACGUGCCAGCAGCCGCGGUAAGACGUAGGGGGCAAGCGUUCUCCGGAUUUACUGGGUGUAAAGGGAGCGUAGACGGCAGCGCAAGUCUGAAGGGAAAUGCCUGGGCUUAACCCCGGAACUGCUUUGGAAACUGUGCAGCUAGAGUGCAGGAGAGGUCAGUUGCAUUCCUAGUGUAGCGGUGAACUGCGUAGAUAUUAGGCGG
rnacentral:rRNA from 1 species